rnacentral:ncRNA from 2 species
GAUUGCAACCACGGCACAGGUGCCAGCGCAAGCUGGCGAAUAGGGAAUUCGGUGCCGCCGCGCGAUCCGCGCGGCCAUUCCGAAGCUGCCCCCGCAACUGUCAGCGGUGAGCCGUUGUCCACAAGGCCACUGAGCAAAGGCUUUUCAGCCGCGCUUGGGAAGGCGGACAACGGCGGCGAUCCGCGAGCCAGGAGACCUGCCUGUACCGGUCAUCCUUC